rnacentral:piRNA from 1 species
UAAUUGCCCAAACCCACCCUUC